CAGGUCUUGACAUCCCAUUGACCGCUAUGGAGACAUAGCUUUCCCUUCGGGGACAGUGGUGACAGGUGGUGCAUGGUUGUCGUCAGCUCGUGUCGUGAGAUGUUGGGUUAAGUCCCGCAACGAGCGCAACCCUUGUUCUUAGUUGCCAUCAUUUAGUUGGGCACUCUAAGGAGACUGCCGGUGACAAACCGGAGGAAGGUGGGGAUGACGUCAAAUCAUCAUGCCCCUUAUGACCUGGGCUACACACGUGCUACAAUGGACGGUACAAACGGUUGCCAACUCGCGAGAGGGAGCUAAUCCGAUAAAACCGUUCUCAGUUCGGAUUGUAGGCUGCAACUCGCCUGCAUGAAGCUGGAAUCGCUAGUAAUCGCGGAUCAGAACGCCGCGGUGAAUACGUUCCC
rnacentral:rRNA from 1 species